rnacentral:rRNA from 1 species
GAUGAACGCUGGCGGCGUGCCUAAUACAUGCAAGUCGAGCGAACGGACGAGAAGCUUGCUUCUCUGAUGUUAGCGGCGGACGGGUGAGUAACACGUGGAUAACCUACCUAUAAGACUGGGAUAACUUCGGGAAACCGGAGCUAAUACCGGAUGAUAUUUUGAACCGCAUGGUUCAAAAGUGAAAGACGGUCUUGCUGUCCCUUAUAGAUGGAUCCGCGCUGCAUUAGCUAGUUGGUAAGGUAACGGCUUACCAAGGCAACGAUGCAUAGCCGACCUGAGAGGGUGAUCGGCCACACUGGAACUGAGACACGGUCCAGACUCCUACGGGGGGCAGCAGUAGGGAAUCUUCCGCAAUGGGCGAAAGCCUGACGGAGCAACGCCGCGUGAGUGAUGAAGGUCUUCGGAUCGUAAAACUCUGUUAUUAGGGAAGAACAUAUGUGUAAGUAACUGUGCACAUCUUGACGGUACCUAAUCAGAAAGCCACGGCUAACUACGUG